rnacentral:rRNA from 1 species
CUUUCCUUGACGACGACUGGCGCACGGGUGAGUAACGCGUAUCCAACCUUCCCAUGACCACGGGAUAACCCGUUGAAAGACGGCCUAAUACCGUAUGACGUCGUUUGCCGACAUCGAAAGACGACCGAAGGUUUGGCGGUGAUGGAUGGGGAUGCGUCUGAUUAGCUUGUUGGCGGGGUAACGGCCCACCAAGGCUACGAUCAGUAGGGGUUCUGAGAGGAAGGUCCCCCACAUUGGAACUGAGACACGGUCCAAACUCCUACGGGAGGCAGCAGGG